rnacentral:tRNA from 1 species
AAUAAGGUGCCUGAUUAAAGGAUUAUUUUGAUAGAAUAAAUUAAGUGAAUAUAUUACUCUUAUUA